rnacentral:lncRNA from 1 species
CGCAGGUUUGCUCACUGCCCUGGGGACAGCUCCCGGUGGCCAGCCUGCCUGGGCUCCCACGCCCGGGGCUCUGGCUGGACCUCAGAACAGUUCCGCUGGGCCGCGGUCCGACUAACCCGGGUGUCUGCAAACGCGGCCGAUUCGGGAAGGUACAUGCACGUCACAGCUAUUAAAAAACUUAAAAGUAAGUUUCCGUUUCCCCUUUGCUCCCAACGCAGAAAUAGGUGCGCCUUCUCGGAGCCGCACAGUUCACAGGUCACCGGGCCGUGGGUGACUCUCUGGUCGGCGCUGAGCUUCAAGAGUGACCAUUCCCCAGACGGUGCACGUCUCACUCUGAAAUUGCUUUUGCUCCCUGCGUCUGUCCUGCGGAGGGAUCUACAAGGACACACUGAGCGGCUUGUGUGACGGUCC